UACGUAGGGUGCGAGCGUUAAUCGGAAUUACUGGGCGUAAAGCGUGCGCAGGCGGUUCGUUGUGUCGGUGGUGAAAGCCCCGGGCUUAACCUGGGAAUGGCCAUGGAAACUGGCGAACUGGAGUGUGGCAGAGGGGGGUGGAAUUCCGCGUGUAGCAGUGAAAUGCGUAGAGAUGCGGAGGAACACCGAUGGCGAAGGCAGCCCCCUGGGCUGACACUGACGCCUCAGGCACGAAAGCGUGGGGAGCAAACAGG
rnacentral:rRNA from 1 species